rnacentral:rRNA from 1 species
CCUACGGGUGGCAGCAGUGAGGAAUAUUGGUCAAUGGGCGCGAGCCUGAACCAGCCAAGUAGCGUGAAGGAUGACUGCCCUAUGGGUUGUAACCUUCUUUUAUAUGGGGAUAAAAUGCCGUAUGUAUGCUGCUUUGCAUGUACCUUAUGAAUAAGUAUCGGCUAACUCCGUGCCAGCAGCCGCGUUACUACGGAGGAUCCGAGCGUUAGCCGGAUUUAUGGGGUUUAAGGGGUGCGUAGGCGGUGUGUUAGUUCAGUUGUGAAAGUCUGGGGCUCAACCCGAGGAUUGCAGUUGAUACUGGCAUGCUAGAGUACCGAAGCGGUAGGAGGAAUGCGUGGUGUAGCGGUGAAAUGCUUAGAUAUCACGAAGAACACCGAUUGCGAAGGCAGCUGGCGGGACUGUAAUUGACGCUGAUGCACGAAAGCGUGGGUAUCAAACAGGAUUAGAUACCCGGGUAGUC